AGAGUUUGAUCCUGGCUCAGAUUGAACGCUGGCGGCAGGCCUAACACAUGCAAGUCGAACGGUAACAGGAAGCAGCUUGCUGCUUUGCUGACGAGUGGCGGACGGGUGAGUAAUGUCUGGGAAACUGCCUGAUGGAGGGGGAUAACUACUGGAAACGGUAGCUAAUACCGCAUAACGUCGCAAGACCAAAGAGGGGGACCUUCGGGCCUCUUGCCAUCGGAUGUGCCCAGAUGGGAUUAGCUAGUAGGUGGGGUAACGGCUCACCUAGGCGACGAUCCCUAGCUGGUCUGAGAGGAUGACCAGCCACACUGGAACUGAGACACGGUCAAGACUCCUACGGGAGGCAGCAGUGGGGAAUAUUGCACAAUGGGCGCAAGCCUGAUGCAGCCAUGCCGCGUGUAUGAAGAAGGCCUUCGGGUUGUAAAGCACUUUCAGCGGGGAGGAAGGCGAUAAGGUUAAUAACCUUGUCGAUUGACGUUACCCGCAGAAGAAGCACCGGCUAACUCCGUGCCAGCAGCCGCGGUAAUACGGAGGGUGCAAGCGUUAAUCGGAAUUACUGGGCGUAAAGCGCACGCAGGCGGUCUGUCAAGUCGGAUGUGAAAUCCCCGGGCUCAACCUGGGAACUGCAUUCGAAACUGGCAGGCUAGAGUCUUGUAGAGGGGGGUAGAAUUCCAGGUGUAGCGGUGAAAUGCGUAGAGAUCUGGAGGAAUACCGGUGGCGAAGGCGGCCCCCUGGACAAAGACUGACGCUCAGGUGCGAAAGCGUGGGGAGCAAACAGGAUUAGAUACCCUGGUAGUCCACGCCGUAAACGAUGUCGACUUGGAGGUUGUGCCCUUGAGGCGUGGCUUCCGGAGCUAACGCGUUAAGUCGACCGCCUGGGGAGUACGGCCGCAAGGUUAAAACUCAAAUGAAUUGACGGGGGCCUGCACAAGCGGUGGAGCAUGUGGUUUAAUUCGAUGCAACGCGAAGAACCUUACCUACUCUUGACAUCCAGAGAACUUUCCAGAGAUGGAUUGGUGCCUUUCGGGAACUCUGAGACAGGUGCUGCAUGGCUGUCGUCAGCUCGUGUUGUGAAAUGUUGGGUUAAGUCCCGCAACGAGCACAACCCUUAUCCUUUGUUGCCAGCGGUUAGGCCGGGAACUCAAAGGAGACUGCCAGUGAUAAACUGGAGGAAGGUGGGGAUGACGUCAAGUCAUCAUGGCCCUUACGAGUAGGGCUACACACGUGCUACAAUGGCGCAUACAAAGAGAAGCGACCUCGCGAGAGCAAGCGGACCUCAUAAAGUGCGUCGUAGUCCGGAUUGGAGUCUGCAACUCGACUCCAUGAAGUCGGAAUCGCUAGUAAUCGUGGAUCAGAAUGCCACGGUGAAUACGUUCCCGGGCCUUGUACACACCGCCCGUCACACCAUGGGAGUGGGUUGCAAAAGAAGUAGGUAGCUUAACCUUCGGGAGGGCGCUUACCACUUUGUGAUUCAUGACUGGGGUGAAGUCGUAACAAGGUAGCCGUAC
rnacentral:rRNA from 1 species